UGGGGAAUAUUGGACAAUGGGCGCAAGCCUGAUCCAGCCAUGCCGCGUGAGUGACGAAGGUCUUCGGAUUGUAAAGCUCUUUUGGCGGGGACGAUAAUGACGGUACCCGCAGAAUAAGCCCCGGCUAACUUCGUGCCAGCAGCCGCGGUAAUACGAAGGGGGCUAGCGUUGUUCGGAAUUACUGGGCGUAAAGCGCACGUAGGCGGACUGAUAAGUCAGGGGUGAAAUCCCGGGGCUCAACCUCGGAACUGCCUUUGAUACUGUUAGUCUCGAGUCCGGAAGAGGUGAGUGGAAUUCCUAGUGUAGAGGUGAAAUUCGUAGAUAUUAGGAAGAACACCAGUGGCGAAGGCGGCUCACUGGUCCGGUACUGACGCUGAGGUGCGAAAGCGUGGGGAGCAAACAGGAUUAGAUACCCAGGUAGUCCUGAGCGGGCUGGCAAGGCGCAU
rnacentral:rRNA from 1 species